GUACACUCCUGCGGGAGGCAGCAGUGGGGAAUAUUGCACAAUGGGCGCAAGCCUGAUGCAGCCAUGCCGCGUGUAUGAAGAAGGCCUUCGGGUUGUAAAGUACUUUCAGCGGGGAGGAAGGCGAUAAGGUUAAUAACCUUGUUGAUUGACGUUACCCGCAGAAGAAGCACCGGCUAACUCCGUGCCAGCAGCCGCGGUAAUACGGAGGGUGCAAGCGUUAAUCGGAAUUACUGGGCGUAAAGCGCACGCAGGCGGUCUGUCAAGUCGGAUGUGAAAUCCCCGGGCUCAACCUGGGAACUGCAUUCGAAACUGGCAGGCUAGAGUCUUGUAGAGGGGGGUAGAAUUCCAGGUGUAGCGGUGAAAUGCGUAGAGAUCUGGAGGAAUACCGGUGGCGAAGGCGGCCCCCUGGACAAAGACUGACGCUCAGGUGCGAAAGCGUGGGGAGCAAACAGGAUUAGAUACCCGAGUAGUCCC
rnacentral:rRNA from 1 species